UCAUAGCCCCACAAAGGUGGGAACAUGUGGGAAGGUGGAGAGAAAACACAAGAACCCUCUGAGGGACACCAGCAGCCAAUGGACCUAUCCUUCCCACAGAUGGAUUCAUAAAUACUUCAUUAUGAUGUAUAAAAGCCAUUAUCAUCUCAGGUUUUCUGGUCCUUGACUACUGGCAUCAGCAUCUUUCUCUGGGUUCUGUCUGGUUUCCAGUUCCUAGUUCUAGAAGACAUCUCCCCCGGCUUUGUUCCUGCUGCUGCUUUCUCCUCAAGAAUGAGAAUCACGCGACCGUGGUGACUGGAUUAACUGGGCAUGGGGGUGGGGAGCAGGCUUACAAGGCUGCCUGGUUCUCGCAUUCCAGGGCAAACACAGUUGUAAAUACUUUAUACCAGGCCUGAAAGCAAGCUCGUGUUGCUUGGACCAGAAUCAAAAGGAAAGAUUUCCAGUCCCCCAAAAUCUCUUUUCAAAAUUAUUGGCUUCCCUGGUGGCUCAGUCGGUAAAGAAUCUGCCUGCAAUGCAGGAGAUCCAGGUUCGAUCCCUGGGUCGAGAAGACCCCCCUGGAGAAGAGAAUGGCAACCCACUCCAGCAUUUUUGCGUGGAGAAUUCCAUGGACAGAGGAGCCUGGCGGGCUACAGUCCACGGGGUCACAGAGUCCGACACGACUGACUGACUGAACUUUCUGAACCGCCCUGGCUCCCUGAGGAAGGCGGGGGAAGCCAAAGACGGGUCCUCUGUGCAGGGUCUCAGGACCCGCACGCCUCACCCCUCCCAGAUAAAUUGCUGUCUUCAGCUUGCAGAGAGCAGCAUCUCUGGAUGGCGACCUGAGCCUGUGGAGUCUAUCGAAAAGAAGACGCAGCAGCCGCCGCCCUUAAGGAAAUCCCUGUCGCCUGCACCUCCCCACCCGAGGAGCAGACCGUUUAACCCAGGCGCUUUUUCUGUGGUUAGAAAAUAAAGUUAUAUUUUAAAAUUAUAUUUUUACGAAUGUGACUUUCAAACAAAACCAAAUGUUUAAUCACAGCACAGUGUCAACAAAUUUUUUAAAUCCUUUUCUCUGCUUCCAUCUUACAAAAACAAAACAAGGACGGCGCCCGCGCGCUCACCUGUAACCAAUUGUGCCGGGAAGUCAGUCCGCGCCAUUUUGCAGGGAAGCCAAGCGCCAGGCUCGUCCCGGAGCCCGCUGUGAAUGCCCCCCUGUUCACCAGCCCCCGGGAAGUUUAAGAUUGUUUGGAAGGAGCCAAGCUUUGGUUUCAUGUGCCUUCCCUGCGACAGAGGAAGCCACGGGGCACAGCUGUUUGCGGCCUUCCCUCUCCGCUCCCAAACGGCCAGCUCGCCGCGCGAGGGGCCUACGGCGCCUGCUCAAGGGCCUUCUCGGCGGCCUCACUGCGCCGGGCCUGUCGCCUCUGCUGCACCAGCUGCCGGUCCAGUUCCCGGAGCUGCUUCAGAAAGCCCCGGUUGGGUAGGACACAGCGGUUCUUGGCCACUUGCCGGAUGGCGUCCACCAGGGUCAUGUUCCUGUGGAUCAUCAGGUAGGCCAGGACCAGGGUCGCCGACCGGCUGCGGCCCAUGGCGCAGUGAACCAGGAUCUUAUCUGAAAUGGAGAGGGGAGAAGACAGAGCCACAUUGGAGAGGCAGGGUGGCCUGGAGGUUGGAACAUACGUGUGAGGCUCAGGUGGAACCUGCGCAAAUCCUGAUCCGUCGCCCAUAUUGUACGACCCUGGGCAACUUACUGAGUGUCUGGGAGCCCCAGCUUCCCUACAUGUACAAUGGAAAUACCAUCAAUUAUCUUCAGUAGUGCCCUUGUAAAGGCAAUUUGCUUAAAGCACUUGGUACACUGCUUGAUGCAUGUCAAAGGCCCAUAGAUGCUUCCUACCUGCCAAAGCGCCUCCAAGUGAGAGCUCCAUCAGCUGUGCAGGAGAAAAAAUUUUAUGAUUUUUUUUUUUUUUUAGUGCUCACUUGUAAUUUCUUCAUGUUUAUAAUAUAUUCACAUUAUUUAUUUUCUUAGUGCUUAUUUUGAAUAGGACAGCCAGUAGAGUUCAGAUUUCAAAAUGUAUAAUACGGUGCCCAUUGAAAAGUCUCCCUCCCACCCAGCUCCUCAGUUCCCCAAAGUGACAAGUAUUACCAAUUUCUUCUUAUGGAGAAGUGUCUGUGCAUAUACAUAGCAAAAACAUACUUUUUUCUCUUCUUUCCUUGCCCAGAAGGUAGCAAGUUUUACACGCUCUUCUGUACCUUGCUUCUUCCAUUUAACAAUGUGUCUUGGAGAUCUUUGUAUAUCAGCCUCUGAAGAGUUCUCUCUUUGUUAUUUUUUCUUGUGGCUGCACAGAGUUCCUCUGUAUGGAUGAACCAUAAUCCACUUUAAGCAGAUGCACUGCAUCCCUUCCAUGACUGCAGGUGGAUUGUGGAGAAAAGCAGGCUUUCUGCACCAUUUGCAGUCCUGAUGCAUUUAACCUCAGUAAGGAGAAAGUUACCCACAGUCAUAAGAGAUAGAGGGCAUGGUCUGCUUGCUAUGGUGUCUGUGAGCAUCCACGUGACCCAGUCUGCCUAUAGAACCCUAGCCUAUUCUCCUGCAGGCCUGGAUUCCAGAGUCAGUUCUGCUCCUAAUUACCUGGGUUUGGGGUAAGCCACUCAGCCUGUGGAGCCUCAACUUCUUCAACUGUCAAAAGGGGCAGCAGCCUCAGGUCAACUGUGAGCAAAAUCAAGUGAGUAAAAUUCACAAGAUCAGAUUUUUCAAAAAUAAUUUUACUGUGUCAUGUAGUACAACCACAGGAUGACUAUUCUUACAAUCUAGAUGAUAAAAUCAUCAUCUAGACUAGUGGUUCUUUAAGCAUGAUUUAAGACCCUGGGGGUUCCCAGGAUACUCUGAGGAGAUCUAUAGCGUUAACAUUAUUUUCAAAAUAGUACUGUAGUGAUAUUUGCCUCAUUCACUGUUUUGACCUUUGCACUGAUGGUACAAAGGCAAUGAGGAAGAAUUGCUGGUGCCUUAGUGUAAAUCACAGCAGACUUCCCUGGUGGCUCAGAGGUUAAAGCAUCUUCCUGCAAUGCAGGAGACCUGGGUUUGAUCCCUGGGUCGGGAAGAUUUCCUGGAGAAGGAUAUGGCAACCCACUCCAGUAUUCUUGCCUGGAGAAUCCGGUGGACGGAGGAGCCUGAUGGGCUACAGCCCACAGGGUCGCAAAGAGUCAGAUACAACUGAGUGACUUAACUUUAACUUUAGUGUGAAUCACGGCAGAGGCACCUAACUAUACUAGUAAUCAUUGCAUUCACCACCAGGCACUCGUGGGGGAAAAACCAGCCAACUUCCCUUAAGAAUAUCUUUGAUGAAGCAGUACAAAUUAUUUCAUCAAAUUUCAGCCCUUGGUACACUUCUUAAUAUUCUGUGUGAUGAAAUGGGAUACAUAUAUAUAAAGCAGUUAGGCUACAAACCAAAGUACGGUUGUUAUCUCAAGGAAAAGCUUAUGAGAGAUUGAGUUGCAAGCUGAAUUUUGCUAAUUCAGCUUAUGGUGUUUCGUGAAAUACCAUUUU